rnacentral:rRNA from 1 species
AUUGAACGCUGGCGGCAGGCUUAACACAUGCAAGUCGAGCGGAGAUGAGGUGCUUGCACCUUAUCUUAGCGGCGGACGGGUGAGUAAUGCUUAGGAAUCUGCCUAUUAGUGGGGGACAACAUUCCGAAAGGAAUGCUAAUACCGCAUACGCCCUACGGGGGAAAGCAGGGGAUCUUCGGACCUUGCGCUAAUAGAUGAGCCUAAGUCGGAUUAGCUAGUUGGUGGGGUAAAGGCCUACCAAGGCGACGAUCUGUAGCGGGUCUGAGAGGAUGAUCCGGCGCACUGGGACUGAGACACGGCCCAGACUCCUACGGGAGGCAGCAGUGGGGAAUAUUGGACAAUGGGCGGAAGCCUGAUCCAGCCAUGCCGCGUGUGUGAAGAAGGCCUUUUGGUUGUAAAGCACUUUAAGCGAGGAGGAGGCUACCUGGAUUAAUACUCUAGGAUAGUGGACGUUACUCGCAGAAUAAGCACCGGCUAACUCUGUGCCAGCAGCCGCCGUAAUAC